rnacentral:misc_RNA from 1 species
GAAAUGCGAUAAGUAGUGUGAAUUGCAGAAUUCAGUGACUCAUCGAAUCUUUGAACGCACAUUGCGCCCCUUGGUAUUCCAUGGGGCAUGCCUGUUCGAGCGUCAUUUGUACCCUCAAGCUCUGCUUGGUGUUGGGUGUUUGUCCCGUCUCCGCGCGUGGACUCGCCCCAAAGUGAUUGGCAGCCGGCGUACUGGUCCCGGAGCGCAGCACAUGUCGCGCAAACGAGUGCCUUGGUACGGCGGCGUCCAUAAGCCCCUCUCUCACGCUCUUGACCUCGGAUCAGGUAGGGAUACCCGCUGAACGUAAGC